rnacentral:misc_RNA from 1 species
UUUCCGUAGGUGAACCUGCGGAAGGAUCAUUAAAAAAUUGGACUCCAUUGGUGAGUUCAUUAAUAAUCCCUACCCUUUGUGAAUUUGUUUGUUUGAAUAAUUUUUUUUCCAAAAAAAUUAUUGAAUGUCUUUCCUUGUUUUGGUGGAGCUUGUAAAGUGAAACCAGGCAGGGGAAUGGCAAACAAUAAUUAUUUUUGAAAAAGACCUUUUUUUAAAAAUUAAACUUUUUGUAUUCAUUUGUCUAAAAUUAAUUUUUAUAAUAUAAAAACAACUUUUGACAAUGGAUCUCUUGGUUCUCGCAACGAUGAAGAACGCAGCAAAUUGCGAUAAGUAGUGUGAAUUGCAGAAUACGUGAAUCAUCGAAUCUUCGAACGCAUAUUGCACUUUUUUAGUUUACUAAAAAGUAUGUCUGUUUGAGUAUCGGUAAAAUAUUCUCAUAAAAAACAUUGUUUUUUUUUAUGGUUAUGAGUGUUUUACAACGAUAACAAGUUGUUUCACUUUAAAUUCUUUGUUAUCAAAAAAAUCAUUAAAAGCUAAUUUUAAAGAUUUUUUAAAAUUGGAUAAAAUUUUCCCGUAAAAAGGAAUAACCUAAACAAUUUUAAAAAAUUAAAAUUGGUUUGAUUUUUUUUGAAACCCAAAGGAAAAAAAAACGAAAUUAACUUGAUCUCAAAUCAGAUAAGAGUACCCGCUGAACUUAAGCAUAUCAAUAAGCGGAGGAAAAGAAACUAACUAGGAUUCCCUCAGUAACGGCGAGUGAAGCGGGAAGAGCUCAAAUUUGAAAUCUUCAAGGUUUUACCUUGACGAAUUGUAGUUUAAAGAAGUGUUUUCUGUUGGAGUUUUGGUAAAAGUUCUUUGGAAAAGGACAUCAUAGAGGGUGAGAAUCCCGUAUUUGACCAUUAUCUCCAGCUUUGUGAUACACUUUCAAAGAGUCGGAUUGUUUGGGAAUGCAGUCCAAAAUGGGUGGUAAAUUUCAUCUAUAGCUAAAUACUGGCGAGAGACCGAUAGCGAACAAGUACCGUGAGGGAAAGAUGAAAAGAACUUUGAAAGGAGAGUUAAACAGUACGUGAAAUUGUCAAAAGGGAAGCGUUUGACACCAGUGUUGUUUUCUCGAAAAUCAAUUAAAAAAGGCCGGAUUUUGUGUUGUAUUGACUUUAUCAGCUUUCUGCACUCUUUUCUUGUCUUUUUUAAUGCACUUUUCGUUUAACAAGUCAACAUCAAUUUCUUUUGUUGUAAAAGGGUCAUUGGAAGGUGGCUUUCUUUUCGGAGAAAGUGUUUAUAGCCUUUGGCCUCUGCAAUCGGAGGGAUUGAGGUCUGCAGCGUAGAUCCUUCGGGGUUAGAUACAUUUGUGCUAAGUUAUAGCCUUUCAUAGACAACUUGUUGACUAUGAUCAGUCAUGUAGCUUACUCGCUUAUGCUAUUUUACCUACGCUUAGGAUGUUG